UCUUUCUUUAAAGAUUCAGAUGCCUCUUGUGGAAUCAGAUAACUCUAACAUUGGCAGUGAAGAUGAGUACAUUCCAUGUCCCAAGGACGAAAGCACAGAAAGUGAUAGCAGUUUGGAAUUAACCCUGGAAAAUAAAAAAAGGAACAAAGGUGCAUCUAGUGAGAGCAGAAGAAAGUCUUCCAGUCGGAGCAAGUUUAAACCCAGGGAGAGUGGAAGUGAGUCCUCCAAGCAGAAAAGAAGCAGGUCUUCCAGUCAGAGCCAGCUUGAUUUUAGCCAGAAGAGACCCUUUAAAACAGGUCAUGACCCCACACAAAUAUUUCCAAAUAGCAGAGUUGAUGGUAAUGAAAAGAAAAUAGUUGCAACAUAUUCUAAAAAGGAUGUGAGUGUUUCAAUGCCCCUGGAAGAAGAGCAGUCUAUGUAUGUCAAUCCAGUUUUAAAGAAGAUGGAUGGGUCUAGAAGCUACAACAAAAAACAUUUCUGCUUUUAUUGCAGAAAGUUUGUCCAGAAAAUGUCAAGGCACUUGUGGCGUAAACACCAAGAUGAAACAGAUGUUGCAAAAGCAUUCAGUUUGCCAAAGAACUCAAAAGAAAGGAAACUGCAGUUGGACUACAUACGAAAUAAGGGCAACUUUGAGCACAAUAGUGAGGUUUUGGAGACACAGAAAGGCAAACUCAUCCCAUGGAAGCAACCACAGAAAAAAUCUGAAGGACAGGAAUUUGCACAUUGUAUUCACUGCUAUGGUUUGUUCUCAAGAAGAGCAAUGUGGCGGCAUUUUCAGGUUUGCAACUUCAAACCUGAGAGUAGUAAACCCGGUAAAACUCGUGUUCUUUCUUUGUGUGCUUUCGCUGAACCUGCUCCACCUGGAUUUAAUGAUGCUUAUUGGAAGUUCUUAAGUGUUAUGAAUCAAGACAGGAUUGCAGUUGCUAUUAAAGAAGACCGCUGUAUUCUUGAAUAUGGUUACAGACUGUUCAGGAAGAACGAGAAGGUGGUCAGUCAACACCAGUAUAUUCGGCAAAAACUGAGAGAGCUUGGCAGGCUGUUAUUGAAAGCAAGACAAGUUACACAUGUGAAGACCAUCCAAGAACUCAUAAAACCUGAACAGUACAGUCAGGUGGUCACUGCUGCAAAGAGCCUAUCUGGAUUCAGUGAGCAAACUGGCAAAUACCAAUGUCCGUCUCUUGCUCGCAAGGUUGGACACAGCUUGUAUUCUUUGGCCAUGUUUAUCAAGUCCGAAGGCCUGAAAAAGAAAGAUAAACAAGCUACUCAAGAUGCUGAGGAGUUUGCGCUGCUUUAUCAAGAAAGUUGGAGAUUUGACAUUGCAAGCCAAGCAUUAACUCAACUUGACCAGACCAAAUGGAAUGCUCCUCUACUGUUACCUUUCACACAAGAUAUUCAAAAGUUUCAUUGUCAUCUAGCUGAGAAACAGCAGCAACAUUUGAAUGAUCUGCAAAAACACCCAUCACCAUCAAACUGGAAGGAGCUUGCAAAAGUUACCCUCACACAAGUUGUACUGUUUAACCGGCGGAGAGGAGGGGAAGUGUCCAGGAUGCUUCUGUCUGCGUAUCUAUCAAAGGACACAUCAGACACACAUGGUGACGUUAGCUUGGCCCUUACACCGCUUGAACAGAAGCUGUGCAAACAUUUUGUAAGGAUUACAAUUGUAGGAAAGAGAGGAAGAAAGGUUCCAGUUCUUUUAACCCCAAUCAUGAGAGAGUCACUUGAUGCUCUGACUGAGAAGAGAGAAGAAUGUGGAGUGCUGUCUGAAAAUGGAUAUCUGUUUGCAUUACCUCACUCUGUCCAUUACAUAAGGGCUUGUGACUGCAUAAGGCAGUUUGUGAAAGAAUGUGAUCACCUUGAAAAUCCUAAAGCCUUAACAUCAACAAGACUAAGGAAACAUAUCGCCACCCUCUCUACUGUAUUGAACCUUAAGACCACAGAACUCGAUCAGUUGGCAGACUUCCUUGGCCAUAAUAUUGCUGUGCACCGAAAGCACUACCGCCUUCCGGAGGGCACCCUCCAGUUGGCCAAAAUCAGCAAAGUGCUUCUGGCAAUGGAACAGGGACGCCUAGGAGAAUACAAAGGAAAGAGCCUGGAUGAAAUUCAAGUUGACGUGAAUGAUUGCCCACAGUCUCAGCUUUCCAACUCAAUAAUACUAUAUCAAUUAAUAUUUUAGAGACCAUUGGCAUAGAGGGGCCUUCAGAAGAGGACAUUGAAGGAGAACAGGGGUCAGAAGAUGAGGAGAGCAUGUCAUCCCUGAACAUCUGUACCUCAACAUCACAAGUCCAAAACCAGGGAGUGUCUCCAACGGAUGUCACUAUGCCAGGACAACAGGGGUCAGAAGAUGAGGUCAGCACGUCAUCCCUGCAAGAAUGUACCUCCACAUCGCAAGUCCAAAACCAUAGUGUGUCUGCAAGAAAGAGAGGUAAGCAAGCUCCUGUGAGACGUUGGACACCAGAGGAAAUUGCUGCAGUAGAAAAACAUCUGAAGAAGUUCAUUGUGAGGCAAGAUGUUCCAGGUAAAGCGGACUGUGAGCGCUGCAUUGCUUCAGAACCGCAAGCGCUACAAAAUAGAGACUGGAAAGCAGUCAAAUAUUUCAUCAAAAAUAGAAUAACUACCAUGAGAAGAAAAUUAUAAUGAAAGCAGUUCAACGAUCAGAGGUAUGGACACACAUUUUCAGUUUGGGUCCUAUACUUUGUUUAAAUGUUUUGAAAUGUACUGUAGUUUAAAGUAGCUGCUGUGGUUUUAGCAGUCAACAACACAUUAAACAAGUACAUGUUUGGCAAAGUCAAAUGUUUGAUUAUCUGGUUAACUUUGCAGUAAUGAUUGUUUUGUUUUCCUGUAAUCAUUAGUUGCAGCAUUAGAGUCUCAAUUUUGUCUCAAGCAUGUUUUAUGUUUUUUGUGAAACAAUACACGGGCAGAUGUGUACACAAAUUAUUCAUAUUUGAUACACUGACCUUUGUGGUCCACAUUAUUUAUUGGUACAGCAAACCUGCAUUCAUUCCAUGCUAAAGACUGACAGGAUGCUUCACAGCACUUAUUUUUAGAGGAUGGAGUCAUAGAACUAUCUCUUACCUGUGAAGGAAUGCAUAGCUGCAGCAUGUAUUGGUCACUGAUGAGCCUCUGUGACAGGUCAGUAUUAAAAACAUCUUCAUGUUGUGUGGACUUAAGUUUCAUGGUUUAAUUUUUUGAUUGAUUGUCACUGAAGACCUGAAUGUUUGCAACCGGACACCAAGCAGAUGGGUCAUCCUGAGCACAUAUUAAAAAUUUCUCUACCAAAUAUGAAUGACAGUACGUUGUAGACUUCCGUGUUUGAGUUUGGCUAUAAACAAUCCUUGGUUUUUGUUCAAUUUAAAGGUCCAGUGUAACGGACUUAGUAAGACUGCUGAUUGUAACAAAAAGAGGACUCAAAGGAUGUUGUUCUUCAUAAACUAUGUUUACAUGGACACAAGCAAUUGGAAUAAAAGCCCGAUCGGAAUAAAUAUGUCAUGUAAACAUGUCAAUCUAGAAACACUGAUUCCAGUCCACAACACCACAGAGAUGAAAUCAGCAUUAGAAUACUCCUUUUUCUACCUUGUUUGUUUAUCUGGUUAACUUUGCAGUAAUGAUUGUUUUGUUUUCCUGUAAUCAUUAGUUGCAGCAUUAGAGUCUCAAUUUUGUCUCAAGCAUGUUUUAUGUUUUUUAUAUACGGACAAAAAAACUUAUUUUCGUUUUGUGUAAAAAGUAGUCAGAUGACUGACUUGUUCGCAAAAUAAAUACAUGUGCCUUCAGGAUAA